GAUGUCAUUGCUCUUUAAUUUACAGACCAGAUUGCCGGUAAAUACACAGAUAUUCCCUCGCUUUGAUUGGAUGAAAUAUCUUGUACGAGUUUCACGGGACUCCUAUAGUGCCCAGCAACGGAAAGAUCUUAGACAAAUAUUGGAUCACUUUCCCGACAACCGCGGGGGAAAUCAAACUUGUCUCGUUCUUCACCUAUAAUCAAAACUGGCGACUGACGCUUUGGUGAAGUUCUUCUAUGAAAAUUUGUCUUUGCGAGGCGUAAGGAAAUACAGAGGCAGAUAUUUAGAACCAGCUGAUAAAUGGGUAACACUCAUUACUUUGUCCUUCUUCUCCUGGUGCUGUUUUAUCCGCUGCGUGUUAAGCCUGGGCCAAUAAAGGAGGGUGAUGUUACCAGUGAGAUCACGAGCGACACAUCUGAUCCGUUCAACGUGGUGGAUAUGAUUAACUUCUACAGAUCAUCAAACGUUCCCGCGAAAAGAAAAAUACAGCGAACAAAA